rnacentral:rRNA from 1 species
UACGUAGGGUGCGAGCGUUGUCCGGAAUUAUUGGGCGUAAAGGGCUCGUAGGCGGUUUGUCGCGUCGGGAGUGAAAACCCAGGGCUUAACCCUGGGCUGGCUUCCGAUACGGGCAGACUAGAGGUAUGCAGGGGAGAACGGAAUUCCUGGUGUAGCGGUGAAAUGCGCAGAUAUCAGGAGGAACACCGGUGGCGAAGGCGGUUCUCUGGGCCUUACCUGACGCUCAGGCGCGAAAGCUAGGGGAGCGAACAGG